UUCAUUCAUGUCAGUUUAUAUUCCAAAAUUAAACAUUAAAACAUUGUUUUAUUGUGAUUUUUUUUCCAAGCACAUUUGACCAAUUCCAAACCAUAUCAAUCUUAAUAACUACCAUUAUUUUUCAUUUAAUCAUUUAUGAGUGCUAUACAAUAGUCCAGGAAAGCUGGAAGAGAAAAACUCCUUAUAUUCAUGUGUGCAGAAUUAUUAGGCAUGUUUUCUUUUACAGAUGAAAUGCGCUAAAAAAGAGUUUUAACUCAAACUGUAAAGUCGAAAAUUAUGAAAUACCCAUGAUAAAUAUCAAACACACAUGCAAUACAGAAAUGGAUAAGUUAAGACUUGACCAUUGUACAAAAAAUGCUGACUGGGUCAUGAGGUCAGAAAAGAAGAAGAAAAAAACAGGUCAAGAAGAACUGACAAAAAGAAUUGCAAAAUAAUUAGGAAUUAAUGUGAAGAUUAAUUUUUAGUCAAUUCUGCAAGACAGACUUUCAGGAAAGGAGGUGGAAUAAAAAUGAGCUCCUAAAUCUUAAUCCCGGAUUCUGGAAGAUAUAUUCCUCAAACCAUCGGACAAGAGGAGGUGCUGCUGGUCCUUCACGAGUCACUCUAAUCUGUUCAUAAAGCCUAUAUAUAAAGUCUUAAUAUAUAGUAUUUCACAAUACUUCAUGGUAUUCUAAUUCAAUCAUUUUUUGGAAUCUUAGAUCUCUCAGAACCUGACACAUUGUAAUUCUGAGACUCCAGGAAAGUGGCAGUUCUGUAAAAUGUUGGCGCUGGAGACUAAAUGCUCCCUGAUAGUUUCACACCUAAUUCAUUU